rnacentral:rRNA from 1 species
UAAGAGGUCCCGCCUGCCCAGUGACCACAUGUUCAACGGCCGCGGUACUUUGACCGUGCGAAGGUAGCGUAAUCACUUGUCUUUUAAAUGAAGACCUGUAUGAAUGGCACGACGAGGGCUUAACUGUCUCCUUUUUCCAGUCAAUGAAAUUGAUCUCUCCGUGCAGAAGCGGGGAUAACAUCAUAAGACGAGAAGACCCUGUGGAGCUUUAGACACUAAAUCAGCCCCUGUCAAACACCCCCCUCUAAAGGGCCGAACACUAUGGGUGCCCUGAUCUGAUGUCUUCGGUUGGGGCGACCCCGGGGAAAGAAAAAACCCCCGCGUGGAAUAGGAGUAUUACACUCCCAAAACUGAGAGCCACCACUCAAAGUAUCAGAAAUUCUGACCAACUACGUGAUCCAGCUUAACGCCGAUCAACGGACCAAGUUACCCCAGGGAUAACAGCGCAAUCCUCUUUUAGAGCCCAUAUCGACAAGAGGGUUUACGACCUCGAUGUUGGAUCAGGACAUCCUAAUGGUGUAGCCGCUAUUAAGGGCUCGUUUGUUCAACGAUUAAAGUCC